GGAGGUAUAACUCAAUAAUAGAGUACAUGUCUAGCACACACAAGCCCCUGGGUUCAAUCCCAGCACCCCCA
rnacentral:tRNA from 1 species